rnacentral:rRNA from 1 species
UACGAAGGGGGCUAGCGUUGCUCGGAAUCACUGGGCGUAAAGGGUGCGUAGGCGGGUUAUUAAGUCAGAGGUGAAAUCCUGGAGCUCAACUCCAGAACUGCCUUUGAUACUGAUAGUCUUGAGUAUGGGAGAGGUGAGUGGAACUGCGAGUGUAGAGGUGAAAUUCGUAGAUAUUCGCAAGAACACCAGUGGCGAAGGCGGCUCACUGGCCCAUUACUGACGCUGAGGAGCGAAAGCGUGGGGAGCGAACAGG